UACAGAGGGGGCAAGCGUUGUUCGGAAUUACUGGGCGUAAAGGGCGCGUAGGCGGCCUGUUAAGUCGAACGUGAAAUCCCCGGGCUCAACCCGGGAACUGCGUCCGAAACUGGCAGGCUUGAAUCCGGGAGAGGGAUGUGGAAUUCCAGGUGUAGCGGUGAAAUGCGUAGAUAUCUGGAGGAACAUCGGUGGCGAAGGCGACAUCCUGGACCGGUAUUGACGCUGAGGCGCGAAAGCUAGGGGAGCAAACGGG
rnacentral:rRNA from 1 species